UGUCUCGGGGCUCUGCUCCGCUGUCUCGGGGCUCUGCUCCGCUGUCUCGGGGCUCUGCUCCGCUGUCUCGGGGCUCUGCUCCGCUGUCUCGGGGCUCUGCUCCGCUGUCUCAGGGCUCUUGGCUUGCGUACUGUUACGUUUUGGUGACUCUUGUCUGGGGACAAUUAGUCAGAACUCCUGGGAUAGAGCCUGGCAAAAAAAAUAAAAAGCAUCUCUUCUCUCACCCCCUCGCCCUCCAUUGCCUAUGAUUGGUGACGGAGGGCCAGGCAGAGUGAAGACCCUAAAUGGCAUCCUAUUCCCUAUAUUGUGCACUACUUUUGAUCAGAAUCCCAUAGGGCUCUAUGCACAAUAUAGGGAACAGGUUGCUGUUUGAGACGCAGCCAGUGUGCAACAGAUGUUUCUGUAACUGCUCAGAGAACACCAGAGGUAGCAUGAGGCCAGGAAUGUGAAUGAGCAAGAGUCAUUGUACAAAAAGAGGAAACUGUUGGGCAUGUGGGUGUAUGUUAUGAUGAACACUUUUCUUGGAAUGUGACCAAUGAGAGAGAGACACUACAGUCUACUGCCAGCCCUGUGGCUGUUUGUUGUCACUCUGCCAUGUUUGUUCCUAUGUAACGAGAGAACAUGGUGCUGGAGGUGUCAAGGAGGAUUAGGUCAGUCUGACAGAACAGGGUGCUGGAGGUGUCAAGGAGGAUUAGGUCAGUCUGACAGAACAGGGUGCUGGGGGUGUCAAGGAGGAUUAGGUCAGUCUGACAGAACAGGGUGCUGGAGGUGUCAAGGAGGAUUAGGUCAGUCUGACAGAACAGGGUAUUGUAUGGGCUGUGGUGCUGGAGGUGUCAGGGAGGCCCAGUCUGAGGAUGAUACCACAUGGUAGGGGCUAUAGUAGGGUGGGAUUUGGCCCAGGCAUCUGAUGGAACAGUUAGACUGGUGUUGGUGACCUUGUACCACUCACUCAUGGUUAGACAAUGUUCCUCAGAAAUAACCUGUUGCAUAAAAAUGUUGAAAGAAAAUAAAAUGAGACAUUUACUGUGACUAUCAGCUGAGAGUAUUUAUAUUCAACCUCUCUUUGAAAGGCAACACACUGCAAAUAUUGUCUCCUGAAAAAUCCGCUAAAUGUUGUGAGAAUGCUUACUAUGCAAUGAAUGUGCAGAGCCCAGUUACAGUGAAGUGGAGGAACAGGCUUGUUUAAUUUUAU